rnacentral:SRP_RNA from 1 species
CGUGCUAGGUGGGGAGUCAGCGGUGCCCUGUAACCCGCAAUCCGCUAUAGCGGGGCUGAAUUCCCGUCCGCGACUCUUGUUUUCUUAGAAAGAGCUUAGGCAAGCGGUGUUGAAAGCCGGGUCCUGCGCAAUAGAAAUUCGUGAAUCCCGUCAGAUCCGGGAGGAAGCAGCGGUAAUCGAACCCUUCUAUGUGCCGCAUGGGUUGCCUGGCCGGAGCCGGCUACUUAAGUAUCGCUUCGAAGCAGUAGCCAAGGGCGGGUGCGCG